CAAAUCAAACAAAGAAUGAUUGAAAGAAAAAGUAAGGAAUAAAAAGGAAUAAGUUUGUGGAGGCACAAAAAUGUAUUGAGAAGUGUUGCUCGACGAAAAAUCAGAAGAGAAAUUCACUCGAAUUCGAUGAAAUUAAUGAAGGAACGACUUCCGUGAAGAGUUCUGCGAAUCCCAGGAGACACAUCUCGCGAAAACUGCUGUGUUCGCGCAUCGAGGGCACCGCAGAUAUCACCAUCUUCGCUCGCAGGGCGCUCUCCUUGAUGAAAGAGGAGAUCGAGGCGAGAUCCCUCUCCAAUCCUCCCACUUCUACAUCGCCGACGGGUUGCCGGGUACCGGCGCGGUGUGCGCUGCGCACGAUGGCAGUGCGCUAAGUGAGCGAGUGCGGACAACGACGCGAGCGCGCUAGUACAGUGCAGGUCGACAUGGCAGCGGAUUACGACGAGUGAUCGCCACGACGGGUGGACUGUGGCGGGUGGAGAAGGUGCGAGAGAACGCGGCGAUAGACUAAGAAAGAGUCGCGAAAGGAACGCUGGUGCGAUUCGGAGAACGGAGAGUGCUCGACGAGAUAAAGUCGCUCUCACGACCGAGGAGAGCGGCCGUCGCGCCGCGUCGCGUCGCGUCGCGUCGAACGCGCUCGAAAAUAGAACGCGGUUGCGACCGCGAGUGAACGUAAAAGAGAAGAGAAGCGGGCGGGAAGAGUUAAAAGAGAGAGAGAAAGAGAGUGACUGACGGUUUAAGCCGGUCGUAGAAUGUCGCGAGUGUCGCUCAACAAGUCGCAGUACGGCUCACGUCGCGUCCGCAAAAUCAGCUCGACGGAGAGCGAAUACUCAGUAGAAGAACAAGCGAGAUUAACGGGAACCGAUGGACCAGGUGGCGAUGAAGCUUCGCCCGAAGAUGAGGGAGGUUCACUUUGCGAAUAUCACGAUAUACCACCACCUCCGGACGGUGGAUAUGGUUGGGUGGUGGUAUUUGCAUCGUUCAUGUGUAACAUGAUAGUGGACGGCAUUGCCUACACGUUCGGUGUCUUUCUCGGAGAAUUCGUUAAAUAUUUUGGGGAAGGAAAGGGCAAAACUGCGUGGGUUGGCUCGUUGCUGUCUGGAAUGUAUCUCAGUGCUGGCCCCGUUGUCAGUGCUUUAACGAAUAAAUAUGGCUGUAGAGCGGUAUGUAUGGCAGGAAGUUUCUUAGGCGCCGCCGCAUUUGUACUCUCGACGUUUUCGAGCAGUGUAAAUAUGCUUAUGAUGACUUACGGUAUUAUGGGAGGAAUUGGAUUCGGUUUGAUAUAUCUACCCGCAGUAGUUUGCGUAGGCUAUUACUUUGAAACUAAGAGAUCCCUAGCUACUGGCAUCGCUGUGUGCGGAUCGGGAUUCGGUACAUUCGCGUUUGCACCCCUUGCGACUAUGUUGCUGGAGGCGUACAGCUGGAAGGGAGCAAACCUAAUCCUGGCUGGCCUCAUCUUAAAUUGCGCAGUAUUUGGUGCCAUGAUGAGACCUCUGGAAUAUCCGAAAGCUUCCUCUGUUAAGCCGUUACUGCAAAGAAUGGCCGAAGAAAAAAGAUUUCAAAUGGAACGUGGUAGUAUCGGUGGCUCUUAUUUUAUGGUGCAGUUACCGGAUGGAUCCAUGGAAAAGAGGAUGAAAAUGCCCAUUAAUAUUGAUCCCGGUGUUCAUUCCAGCUUCAAUUUAGACCAAUUAGUGCCUGUUCCGACGGUGCCAACUCUUCCCACCAUAUCCGAAGUGAAGGUACAAGAGCACUCAUCUAGUGGACAUACCAGUGAUAGCGGCAGUAUGGAUUUAAAAAAUAUUUCCAACAAGACCAAGAGCAAGAAAAGUAUCGAUGAAACCAAAGACACGAAGGACGUGGAGAAGCCAGAGAAUGAAUUUAAUAAGACGAUAAUCCCUAGAAACGCGUCGCAGCCAGCUUUCACGACUCACGUUCAAGGUUUGCCUAAAAACGGCUCCGUGCCAUUCUUCGACAGAAUCCGUAAAACGAGUACCAGCGAACGCUACAAGCCUAGCCUUAGUGCAAUAAAGAAUUCUAGGACAACGCUUAAUUCUAACGGAGAUAUCAGAAAAAGCUUGCAUCUGAGACUUUCCACUAGCAGUAUGUUGGGAUCGCGAAAUAACAAUGCUGAGGUUGAUGAUGGUGAGAGUAUUACUUUUACUACCAGUAAAGCUAGUAUCCAAAAAGAGAAACCAAUGAUUGUCCGUCCCUUAUCGAGAAAGGAUAUUUUCUACAGUGGUAGCGUAGUCAAUUUACCAGAAUACCAAAGCCAGAAAUCCCUUGCCAAUUACCGUCAGAGUGUUGUAUCUAUUCCCAAAUCUGUACGUGGUGAUUUGAAAGACAUCGAUAUCGAAAAAGCACAACAACAACCUUUGUGUCCUUGCUUGGUAUUGCCUGACUCGUUUAAGGAAGCUUUAGCGACGAUGAUGGAUAUGUCUUUAUUGAAAGAUCCUGUUUUUCUUCUAAUUGGUAUUAGUAAUGUAUUUGGUAUGGCUGGACUGUACGUUCCUUUUGUAUAUCUGGUGGAUGCCGCGGUCUUAGAUGGAAUUGAAAGCAAUUCUGCAUCAUUCUUAUUAUCUAUUAUUGGAAUAACGAACACCAUAGGUCGUGUGGCUUGUGGAUAUAUCGCUGACUUUCCGCAAGUCGAUUCCUUAUUAUUAAACAAUAUUUGCUUAAUUAUAUCCACAAUCGCAGUAGCCGCUACACCAUUUUGUCAUAGUUAUGCCGCUUAUAUCAUCAUGAGCAUAUUUUUUGGAAUAGCAAUAUCUGGAUAUAUCUCACUAACAUCGAUCAUCUUGGUGGAUCUCUUGGGAUUAGACAAGUUAACGAACGCUUUCGGCCUUUUAAUUCUAUUUAGAGGGGCUGCCGCUAUAGUUGGCUCACCCUUAGCGGGCGCUGUUUAUGAUGCAACGCAGAGUUACAGUAUCCCGUUCUUCAUGGCAGGGUUCUUCUUCCUUAUAAGCACUAUUACUAGUUUCAUGGCCCCUGCUAUGAAACGGUGUACUACACCGCAGAUUCAACCUGUGAUAUUAGAUACAUUGACUCCAAUCGACGAAGAUAUUGAAGAAGAGAAUGAGGAGGAUAUACCGGAAAUAGUAGAAACUGCGCCGUCACCCUUAGAACCACCCGAGAAAGAGAUCAAACAAAUAGAGUCUGUUUUAUAAGUACUUCUGAUCUUUUUUAAACGGAUUAUAAAAAUCGCCUUCACUCCGAGCCACACUGUGAUAGGGCUGCUACUUUUGAAGUCUUAAAAAAAGCAGAGCGAAUGGGGCGAAAACGAGACUGUUCCUUGUGCUACAGAAGACAGGCGCGUGCUUCUGGGGCGCGCGAUUAAACUCUUGAUCCGCACUUUCGUUCAAGCGUGGCUAAAGCAAGGAGGGGCUCGACAUAUUGGAGGAAAAAUCAUGCCGGAGAUCCAGAGGAACGCCUCCGCUCCGUUCCGCGCGCGCGAAUCGCGAGUCGCCGGCUGGCGAAUGAGAGAAAAUUCUGAGUGGCAGCUCUCCGAGUAUCUACUUAUCCGGCUGUCCGUCCACCUCGUCGUCGGAUUUUGUCGUGUGAAAAGUUGUGAAAAGAAAGUGUGAACAUGUGCGCGUGUUACAUAGUCGAAGUGUAAUUAAAAUUACGUAUGCAAUUGCUGUAUCUGAAACACGUGUAUCCGAAGUACGCGUGUGCCCGGUGUGUUUCGAAUUUUUUAGAUGAGAAAAAAAACGGUGAAUCCAUGAAUAUCGGUUUUUGUCGCGAAGGAAAAAAGAUUCUUUGAAAGAUCAACAAAAUUUGUUUCAACUCUUUAAAUGGAAAUUCAAGGUUGAUCUAUUUCAGUUCGUGCGAGAGAACAUUUACACCCGCGUGCGUGAGUCAUCGGCGUGCCGUUGAUCUUUCGGUACUAAAGAAUCACGUAAGAGCGGAAGCAUUUUCAAGAAGAGCACGUGUUUGUCUCGCCUGUUUUGGUAAAAAAAAAGUUGAUAAAAAAACGAUAGAAAAUCUUAUCGUUUUGAAUAUGGAAUCGUGAAUUCACUAAUUUGAAUUACAUCUUACAUAAAUCUUACUCGUAUAUAGAACCCGAUAAAAUACGAUAGAAUUCAUAUUCGAUCAAUGUGAUGCUUGCGACGUCGACAAUAGAACAUAAUAUAAUAUAGAAAACGAUAACAAAGUGAUAGAAAUCGUUUUCAAUUGUUUUUUAUCAACUUCUUUUACUAGGGUGCCUAUACUGAUCGAGAAAAUCGGAUACCGCA